rnacentral:rRNA from 1 species
GACGAGCCACCCGAACGUUAUUCGGAAUUACUGGGCUUAAAGGGUGCGUAGGCGGUGCAGCAAGUCGGGAGUGAAAUACCUCAGCCUAACUGAGGAACUGCUUUCGAUACUGCUGUGCUUGAGUGAGACAGAGGUAAGCGGAACUUAGGGUGGAGCGGUGAAAUGCGUUGAUAUCCUAAGGAACACCGGUGGCGAAGGCGGCUUACUGGGUCUCUACUGACGGCUGAGGCACGAAAGCCAGGGUAGCAAACGGG